rnacentral:rRNA from 1 species
ACGAACGCUGGCGGCGUGCCUAAUACAUGCAAGUAGAACGCUGAAGAGAGGAGCUUGCUCUUCUUGGAUGAGUUGCGAACGGGUGAGUAACGCGUAGGUAACCUGCCUUGUAGCGGGGGAUAACUAUUGGAAACGAUAGCUAAUACCGCAUAACAAUGGAUGACACAUGUCAUUUAUUUGAAAGGGGCAAUUGCUCCACUACAAGAUGGACCUGCGUUGUAUUAGCUAGUAGGUGAGGUAAUGGCUCACCUAGGCGACGAUACAUAGCCGACCUGAGAGGGUGAUCGGCCACACUGGGACUGAGACACGGCCCAGACUCCUACGGGAGGCAGCAGUAGGGAAUCUUCGGCAAUGGGGGCAACCCUGACCGAGCAACGCCGCGUGAGUGAAGAAGGUUUUCGGAUCGUAAAGCUCUGUUGUAAGUCAAGAACGGGUGUGAGAGUGGAAAGUUCACACUGUGACGGUAGCUUACCAGAAAGGGACGGCUAACUACGUGCCAGCAGCCGCGGUAAUACGUAGGUCCCGAGCGUUGUCCGGAUUUAUUGGGCGUAAAGCGAGCGCAGGCGGUUUGAUAAGUCUGAAGUUAAAGGCUGUGGCUCAACCAUAGUUCGCUUUGGAAACUGUCAAACUUGAGUGCAGAAGGGGAGAGUGGAAUUCCAUGUGUAGCGGUGAAAUGCGUAGAUAUAUGGAGGAACACCGGUGGCGAAAGCGGCUCUCUGGUCUGUAACUGACGCUGAGGCUCGAAAGCGUGGGGAGCGAACAGGAUUAGAUACCCUGGUAGUCCACGCCGUAAACGAUGAGUGCUAGGUGUUGGAUCCUUUCCGGGAUUCAGUGCCGCAGCUAACGCAUUAAGCACUCCGCCUGGGGAGUACGACCGCAAGGUUGAAACUCAAAGGAAUUGACGGGGGCCCGCACAAGCGGUGGAGCAUGUGGUUUAAUUCGAAGCAACGCGAAGAACCUUACCAAGUCUUGACAUCCUGCGACGGUGCUGGAAACAGUACUUUCCUUCGGGACGCAGAGACAGGUGGUGCAUGGUUGUCGUCAGCUCGUGUCGUGAGAUGUUGGGUUAAGUCCCGCAACGAGCGCAACCCUUAUUGUUAGUUGCCAUCAUUCAGUUGGGCACUCUAGCGAGACUGCCGGUAAUAAACCGGAGGAAGGUGGGGAUGACGUCAAAUCAUCAUGCCCCUUAUGACCUGGGCUACACACGUGCUACAAUGGUUGGUACAACGAGUUGCGAGUCGGUGACGGCGAGCUAAUCUCUUAAAGCCAAUCUCAGUUCGGAUUGUAGGCUGCAACUCGCCUACAUGAAGUCGGAAUCGCUAGUAAUCGCGGAUCAGCACGCCGCGGUGAAUACGUUCCCGGGCCUUGUACACACCGCCCGUCACACCACGAGAGUUUGUAACACCCGAAGUCGGUGAGGUAACCUUUUGGAGCCAGCCGCCUAAGGUGGGACAGAUGAUUGGGGUG